rnacentral:misc_RNA from 1 species
GAAAUGCGAUAAGUAAUGUGAAUUGCAGAAUUCAGUGAAUCAUCGAAUCUUUGAACGCACCUUGCGCUCCUUGGUAUUCCGAGGAGCAUGCCUGUUUGAGUGUCUUGAAGUCAUCAACCCCUUCCGUUUCGUGCGGAGAGGGUUGGAAGUGGGGGCUCUGCUGCCGUGAGGCGGCUCCCCUCAAAUGCAUCGGUUGGGCCUGUGGGUCGAACUCGACUGGGCGUUGUACCAUCCUCGCUUUACAGAGUCCGUUCCCCUUUCCGUGCCCUCCCCCGACCUGCCUGCUAGAGUGGCGGUCAAGCAACAAACUUUGAAAUCUGACCUCAAAUCAGGUAGGACUACCCGCUGAACUUAA